AUGGCAGCUUAUGUGCUGUUGCUUAUGAUCAGUACAAGGUAUAUCAAAAUAGCUGUGAUCCCGGCUAUCAUACUUGUUUUCAUUGGUGCCUUGUGGGGCAAAUUCUGUGUCAAAGGAAGGUUGCGGCAUAGCACCAAUGAAAUGGCUAACUUGGGCAGUGGCAGCGAGAAACAUCAGGGUCUGCUACUAAUGGUACUACUAUCAUACUGUCUGCAGCUAAUGCAGCUCGUCUUGGCACAUCGUGCUGAGCUGACCAAGGGACAACAAAACGACAAUUUUGUUAUCUCUCACUUUCUCCUCUUCUUCAGUUCUGCGCUUGGUGCUCUGGCAUCGAUGAUGGCCACACUCCCGAUCGGAACCAGCCCAGGUGUAGCGCAGGCACAGCAAGCGCUUCACAAGACCUUCACUGUCGUGCUUAUGAUAACGGUGCACACCGUGGCUGCAGAAUGGACGGGGGAAGACAUGGUACUAAUUUGCAUGCCGGAGCUUAUUGCGGCGCUUGUGUGGUUCACUGCUAAUUUUGAUCAUGAUAAUUUCAGCUGUCUAUAG
rnacentral:rRNA from 1 species